CCAACGGGGCCUUUCCUUCUGGCUAACCUUGAGUCCUUGUGGCUCUUGGCGAAMCAGGACUUUUACUUUGAAAAAAUUAGAGUGUUCAAAGCAGGCGUAUUGCUCGAAUAUAUUAGCAUGGAAUAAUAGAAUAGGACGUUUGGUUCUAUUUWGUUGGUUUCUAGGACCAUCGUAAUGAUUAAUAGGGACGGUCCGGGGGCAUCAGUA
rnacentral:rRNA from 1 species